CUAAGAGCUACUAUAAAAAGAUUUAUAUAUUUUUUAAUUAGGAAACGAUAGUUUAAAUUCAGAAAAGUAUUUUCGGGAUUGCAAUAUUACCAUAUGAUAGCAUAAGUAUGACACUUAUAGAGUAUAUGGUGCAUGUACGAAAAAUUGAAUGCACCAAUCACCUGCUACGCAACUUUAGUAGAAAAAUAAAUGAGAUUGACACAAAAGGUGAAUUUAUUUAUAAUCGUUAUCAUGUUGUAUUUAUUUAUUUCGGAGGUCCGCAAUAAAUGCACAAAAGUACAAAUGUGGAGAAUGAAGAGGACCGUCUUUGACGGGGGUGGUGGUGGGUCUCUUCACACUCUCCUAUUAAUUUUUACUUUCCUAAUAGUGGAUUCAUCAGGAAGUAUCAAACCAGGGUGUACAGCAUGAUAGUACAAGCGAUCCGGAAUCGUCUCAACCAAAUUGUAUACAUAAUGUUUGUUCAAUAAUUGCUUUCAAUUAUCUUAUAAGUGUAUAGGGUUCAUGUUCUACUGUAUUAUUUUAUUAAUA